rnacentral:rRNA from 1 species
UAGGGAAUAUUGGUCAAUGGGUGAGAGCCCGAACCAGCCAUGCCGCGUGCAGGAAGAAGGCCUUCUGGGUUGUAAAAUCCUUUCGCCGAGGACGAUAAUGACGGUACUCGGAGAAGAAGCUCCGGCUAACUUCGUGCCAGCAGCCGCGGUAAUACGAAGGGGGCUAGCGUUGUUCGGAUUUACUGGGCGUAAAGCGCGUGUAGGCGGGUCGUUAAGUUGGGGGUGAAAUCCCGAGGCUCAACCUCGGAACUGCCUUCAAAACUGGCGACCUGGACCUAAGUAGAGGCAAGUGGAAUUGCGAGUGUAGAGGUGAAAUUCGUAGAUAUUCGCAGGAACACCAGUGGCGAAGGCGACUUGCUGGACUUAUGGUGACGCUGAGACGCGAAAGCGUGGGGAGCAAACAGGAUUAGAUACCCCCGUAGUCCCUGAGCGGGCUGGCAAGGCGCAU